rnacentral:rRNA from 1 species
UACGAAGGGGGCUAGCGUUGCUCGGAAUCACUGGGCGUAAAGGGUGCGUAGGCGGGUCGAUAAGUCUGCUGUGAAAGUCCAGGGCUCAACCCUGGGAUGCCGGUGGAUACUGUCGAGCUCGAGUCCGGAAGAGGCGAGUGGAAUUCCUGGUGUAGCGGUGAAAUGCGCAGAUAUCAGGAGGAACACCAAUGGCGAAGGCAGCCCCCUGGGCUAACACUGACGCUCAUGCACGAAAGCGUGGGGAGCAAACAGG